UACGUAGGGGGCAAGCGUUGUCCGGAUUUAUUGGGCGUAAAGAGCGUGUAGGCGGCCAGGUAGGUCUGCUGUGAAAACUCGAGGCUUAACCUCGAGAUGUCGGCGGAAACCCUCUGGCUAGAGUCCGGAAGAGGGGAAUGGAAUUCCCGGUGUAGCGGUGAAAUGCGCAGAUAUCGGGAAGAACACCCGUGGCGAAGGCGGUUCUCUGGGCCUGACCUGACGCUGAGGAGCGAAAGCGUGGGGAGCGAACAGG
rnacentral:rRNA from 1 species